UACAGAGGGUGCGAGCGCUGUCCGGAAUCACUGGGCGUAAAGGGCGCGUAGGCGGCGCGGUAAGCGUGCGGUGAAAGCUCGGAGCUCAACUCCGAGUCGGCCGUGCGAACUGCCGCGCUCGAGCACAGUAGAGGCAGAUGGAAUUCCGGGUGUAGCGGUGGAAUGCGUAGAGAUCCGGAAGAACACCGGUGGCGAAGGCGGUCUGCUGGGCUGUGGCUGACGCUGAGGCGCGAAAGCCAGGGGAGCAAAC
rnacentral:rRNA from 1 species